CGGCCUUUUCCUUGUUUCCCAGCUCUGGAAGGUGAAACUUGCUGCCACGAAUCUAUACCCGGAGGGGUAGGCAGGGGAUCCCCUUGAUCAGCCGGCAUCCACGAGGGAACUGGAUUCAAUUGCUGUGU